CCAUACCUGUUUGAUCUCAUGGUGCAAAGACGUGUGUGUUAUGAGCUUGUGAUAAAGUUCCUGUGAUAAAGCAGUGAAGAUGUGACAGCUCCAGGCAGGCCCCAGCCCGUGCUCUGGGAUACAGAUGUUGGCACUGCUGGAGGAUGGUCCCAGCAAAUCUUCACCAAGGACUUCAGAGGGCUGAAUAUCUGUAGCUGUUGUUUGCUAAACAAGAGCGCCGGUGGCAGAGGAAUUAGAAGAAAUCCCUUCUUAAUUGGAAACACAUUUUUGAGGUACUGACAGUAUUUCUCAUCUCUCAUGGGGACGAGGAGUCAGUUCUGAAAAAUUUUGUGAACCAGAAAACCAAAGGCUUAAUUCUGAAGAGAGAAGACCUUUUCAACUAAAGCCCUGGGAUGUGUCACUGGAGGAAGUACAAAAGCCAAACAUUUGGACAAUUUGGACAAGGGUUUGAGCUUUUUUCCCAGUUGAAACAACUGUCCAAACCACUCUUCUUGCCUGCAAAAAGUAAAAUGGGCAUUUUCCCACUGUUCCCCUUCCCAGGCCCAUUGCAUAGGGAGUUUCCCAGCUGGCCCAGUGAAUGGUGGGCAAAUGCAGGGAUGGGGCAAACGGGAUGGAGCCAGAGUUGGAGGAGCAGCUUGAACCACUGUGAGAUCCACUGGACUCUUUCAUUGUGGCUCCAGGAUUUUGUCCUCCUUCCCACCAUCAUGGUCCCUCAGCAGGGACUUCAAAGGCACAGGAAUCCCUUGAGGCACUGAAGAUACAGAUGAGCUUCUACUGCAGCCUUCAAAAGCAUUUAGGAUGAUUAAAAUCUGCCUCCUGAUGGGGCCUUGAACCACAUGGAAAGCGGGAUUUAGGUUCUUAGAUUUCUUCUCUGCUUUUGAAAUUUGCUUUUUUGGGACUGGUGGUUCUUAGUGGCCAGUCAAGGAAGGACGGCUGGGAGUGAGAUCAGGAAAGCAAUGUUUUGUCCCUUGGGGCACUGCCAUGCAGUUUUUCAGGCAGAGCCAAGAGAAAAGUGUCCUGGAGGAGGAUGGAGAGGAUGAGUGGAGGCACAGACCUGUCCCUGAGGGGAACACUCAGUGAGUGAUAAAGCAGGAGUAGAUGGUCUGCCCCAACCCUCCUGGUCCUCAGAAGUGGCUCAAGGAGCACUAAACACAGCAGUGACAUUCUUUUCCUCCUCUCUAAAACACGCCCUGACCUCUAAACUCGGUUGUAUAUUUA